CAUGUGUCUCUGAAAACUCUCGUGCUGCUGUAGUGGAUUGGCAUCAUUUUCUCUCUGUGUUUUGUAGUGCAAGUGAUAAAACCAGUUUUGACUCCAGUGUGCAGAUUUGUACCCCCUGAGCUAGGAAACGUGGAUGUUUGAAAUCCAGCAGCAGUUCCUGCCUCUCUUGUGUUAUGUAGAGAGCAAAGGCACAGUGGGAGAGAGGAAGGAAAAAUACAUUCAGGUACAGAUGAAGGGCAGAUGAAGACCCUCUGUUCCAGUGAACUCAGAGCAUGGGCACCAUCUUCAUUGUCUUGAAAAAAGGAAAAAACAGAGAAGUACAAAGGGAGUUUGAAGAGCCCUGUGAUCCCAAGGGGCUGCUGGCCCCUUCUUUUAGCAGCUUUUGAGAUUAAGAUCCCUGUGAUUAAACCUGGUCUAUCAGCUCAUUAUUGCAUCUCCUGGCACCACUGAGCAAAUGGGCUGACACAGCACAGCUCCCUGCUGACCUCCCAGCAACGGCUGAUUGACUUUGCAAGGAUUUUUCAUUUCAGAAACAUUUGCAAUUUCCUGAAAUGACUCCAAAGAAUCACAUCAUUUUAUUUCAUAUUCGUGUUUGCUUGCAUCAGUUAUUUUGGGGGUAGGAAAGGAGGGGAUGAAAUUGUUUUAUAUAAAUAAGUUGAAUGUAUUUCAUAGCAAGCAAUGUUCUGACCCUGGCACUAUUGCCUUUCUACCCUUCUAUAUUGAAAUUCAUUGUGCUUGGAUAUCUCUGGUUUCCCAGAAUCCCACUGUUUCAUUUGUUUUGCUAUGCAGAAGUAUCAUUAUAGCUCACUUUAUGCCUUUUGUUAAGAAUUAGCACUCCUGAGAAUCAAAAAUGAAGAUGUGAAUGUUCACACAAUUAAAUAAUUGCAGGUAUUAACAAUGAGUUGUCCACCCACAGGCUCAGCAGGUGCUGGAGCAAUCGGCUGGGAAAUGGAGUAUUUCUGGACCUGGGCAUGUGUUCCCAGAAACCUGGUAAUUGAGGCAACAUGGAUUUUGGAAUGCAGAACAUCAGAACUACCAAACAUGCCCUGGAACAGAGAAUCACUACGAUACUCACCUUGUGCCACAUUGCAACUGAAUUUUGAAGCUGCCAAGGGCCAGGACAGUCCUGUGAAAUUCACUGACAGCUGGAUGGACUUGGGAGGGAGAACACAUCUGAUGGGUGAGCACUCAGAAAUUGAGUUUCUAUUGUGUCUGGUAGUGCCAAGACUCCAAACUACAGGCUGUUCCCCCAUCAGUUUAAUGAUUACAGGUUGAACAUUUGUAUCUGAGCUCACUCCCCUAACACUCUGGGCAUUUACUGGAGCUAUCAAGUUAAUUGUUCAGCAAGUCACAGCUCUAGGGAAGGUUAGUGUGGCAGGCAGGAUUGUCAGUCACAGGAACCUCUCUCCCCCAUUCCCUAUCCUCCUCCAUGCUGGCAGCUCAGGCUAAGGCCUAAUAUUAAUGAGAAGACUUCCCAUUCACAAUGUGGCAGGGAAACCAGAUUUGUGGCAAAGAAACACAAGGAGGAACACAGGCUAGACUAUCUCUGGUGGACAGGGCAACAGUGAGUCUAUACUUGCCUCUUCAGCAAAGAACAAGAAAGGAUUGUAUCCUUCUCCUCAUUAUCCUCAUCUAAUGUCCUUCCAACCCAGCUGAGCCAGACCAGAGGGAAAAUUAAAGAAGUAAA
rnacentral:lncRNA from 1 species